rnacentral:rRNA from 1 species
CUACGGGGCGCUGCAGGCGAGAAAACUUUGCAAUGUGCGAAAGCACGACAAGGUUAAUCCGAGUGGUUUCUGCUAAAGGAACCUUUUGUCGGUCCUAGAAACACCGAUGAAUAAGGGGUGGGCAAGUUCUGGUGUCAGCCGCCGCGGUAAAACCAGCACCUCAAGUGGUCAGGAUGAUUAUUGGGCCUAAAGCAUCCGUAGCCUGCUUUGUUAGUUUUCGGUUAAAUCUGUACGUUCAACGUACAGGCUGCCGGGAAUACUGCAAAGCUAGGGAGUGGGAGAGGUAGACGGUACUCGGUAGGAAGGGGUAAAAUCCUUUGAUCUAUUGAUGACCACCUGUGGCGAAGGCGGUCUACCAGAACACGUCCGACGGUGAGGGAUGAAAGCUGGGGGAGCAAACCGGAUUAGAUACCCGAGUAGUC